rnacentral:lncRNA from 1 species
UCUGUGACCUAUGACACAGCUGUGGCAAAGCCAGAUCCCUAAUCCACUCUACUCAGGCCUGGGAUGGAACCAGUAAGGCCACAGAGACAAGCCAGAUCACUAAAUCACUGCAUCAUAGUGGGAACUCUGUGUUUUAGUUCUCUAAUUAUUCUACCUUGAAUAUAUAUGGCUCUGGUUUUAAAUAUAUGCUGAAUCUCUGUGGUUUCAGAGAAAACCAGAGGCCUGAAAGCCUUAUAAUGAUAAAAUUGUACCUGAAUUAACUAUCACAAUUGAAUUUAAAAUUAGAAAACAUAAAAUAAGAAAAAGCUGAUAUCCGGGGUCAGAAACUCUUCCCCUAUUGUGAGCUGCACAGCUCAAACCCUCUGAUAACAGUCCACAGGUUCACAGGCAACUUUCACCUCACCUUCUACCUCCAGAUUCAACUCCACAAUCAAAACCUCCUAGGCUAAGUCACAAUACUCUUAGUUUUAUUUGAAUACGUAGUGGUGGAACCAAUAUAUUCUAAUAGUAUUCACUAUAAAUAAAUAUUCACUAUAUAACAUGGAUUUAACUACAUCCACCACUCUCCCCUGCCCCUUCUAGGUUACUUAAAGACUUCAUGGGUAUAAAUUCUCAUAUUAUGAUUAGAAAGGUUUUCACGCCUUCUCUUUUUAUUUCCUUCCUUCCUGCUUUUAAUAUACAUAACUAUUGUUUCCCUAUUUAUUUUGAUAUAUUCCCUUCAAAUACUAAUGCAUAAUAAACAUUAACUAAAAGCUUUUGAAUUAAUAGACAGUUUUUAUCAUUGCAACUCAGUCACUUAACUAGAAUCCUAAGAAAUAUCAGUUUCUUCAUCUCAAUAAAAAUGGGAGUGAUUAUGGUAUUUAUACCAAUAUCAUCAUCAUUAUCAUUUCUUAAACCUCUACUAUGUAAUUAUUUGAAAAGUAUUGUAAUGUCCUAAAAUGUUGGCCCCUUAUGUAUUUUAAGUCAAUUAAAUUUUUCAAAAGCAUACAUAGAACACCUUUAGGUGGUACCUUAAAGAUAAAUAAAAUGCUUUUUAAAGAUUUCUACAAAUAAAUUGGAAUUUUAAUAAAUACAAAUUAAAUUACAAAUAAAUUUUGCAAUCCCAUGCAACUUUAAGCACUAUAUGCAAACUGAUAUUCAACAAUGUUUCUAGAUAGUGGUCAGUGAAUAAUAUCACAUUUUCCAAAGUGCAUUUUCACCUGCCUCUCUCACUUUUCAGAAUUAAUUCAACCUUCUAAAGACUGAAAUAUGGAUACUUAGAGAUUCCAUACUGUAUAUCUUUUAAAUAUUUAGUGACAAAUCAUAUUUUAAUGUUUAAUUUUUCAAACCAUAUCUCCAAUAACUUGGGAUGCAUGUUUUUCAUGUUUCAUAGUAAAAGCAAACAUGAAUUGAGGACCAUUUAUGGCCCAAGCAUUAUAGUAUAUGUGUUCCAGAUAAUAACUUAUUAAAUUCUCACAAUUCUAUGAGAAAGGUAGUAUCAUUAGCUUCAUUUUACAGAACAGGAAACUGAAGCAUGGAGAGGUUAAAUACUUGCCCAGAAUUACAUAAUUGUAGGUCUUGGAUUCACACCCAGUCAGUCAAAUUGCAGAGCUUAUAUUUUUAAUUAAGCUUCUGAACAAUGCAUAAGUUAAAGUAAAAAGUGAUCACUGACUUAUAUAGCUUAGAUAGUAACUUAGUUUAAUUUUUCAAAUGCAUGGCCAGUUUGUGAGCUGGGUACCUUACCUUUUAUGAGUUCACUUUUAAAAAUAUAUAUAUUUUUAAUUUAAUUUAAAAAAUUGCUAUGGCUGCACCCAUGGCAUAUGGAAGUUGCUUGUCAGGGAUUGGACCCAAUCCAGAGUCAUGACCUACACCACAGCUACAGCAACACAAUCCUUUAACAUGCUGUGCCUGGCUGAGGGUCAAACUCAUGCCCCCAUAAUGAUCCAAGAUGCUACAAUUGCUGCAGAAUCUUAACUCACUGCACCACAGCAGGAACUCAUUUUUAAAUUUUAGACAAAUAUUUGAUGGAUUGAAUUUUGAUGACUCUUAAAAUAUAAUGAAGCGAGCCCAUCAAAAGCUUUAAGGAGAAAGCUGCAGAGUGAAUAGAUUGGCUUUCCUUCUUCAUAAAAAAACAAUGCCUCUCUCUUACCCAUUCAGUAAAAUGAGCUCGCAAUGAAGCCUAUUGAGUAACAGAAUGAAACAAGUGAUAAAAGGAAAAAUCCCAGGGUUGAGCUUCCAGUAGAGAAUAACCAAGAGCUGGAAAAGUUUGCAUCUUUCUAGUUCAUAAAAUCCACACAACCAUGCUACAUGAUAAAAUGUCAUUUAGGCUUCAAUUGACUGUGGGCUCUCAAAAGACACAGGCCCAGACUGAGAAAAAGGGAUAUGCAGGAGAAAUAAUUCUAGACUUAUUCAAAAAAUUGAAGAUACAGCUAUAAUAGUUUUCCAAGGAAAUAUGACGGAGUAUUGAUCAAAGGGCAGGCUUUCCUGGAUCAACUUAAUUUACUGUUUUAUUUCCCAUAUCAGAAUUUUAAUGUUUCCCCCAAUAUUACUGAAAUGAAAUAGUAUGCUAGUUGAACUGAAUAGUCUUCCUAUUACACUUUAUGACAUGGCAUCUCAUGUUUAAACUGAUGGAGAAGGAAAAUGAAUAAGUAAAAUAAAUAAGUAACAAGGUUUUACAUCUAGAGAGGUACUUUUUCCUUCUAGUUUUAUUGAGAUACAUUUGAUAUAUAGCAUUGUAUAAGUUUAAGGUGUACAGCAUAAUGAUUUGACUUACAUCAUGAAAUGAUUACCAUCAUAAGUUGAGUGAACAUCCAUCAUUUCAUAUACAUACAAAAUAAAAGAAAAAUAUUUUCCCUUGGGAAGAGCACUUUUAGGAUUUACUCUAUUAACAACUUUCAUAUAUGACAUAGAGCAGAGUUAAUUAUUAUAUUUAAGCUACUAAAUAUGAUACCUGUGUAAUCGCUACUCUUGUUAUAUGAAACUUGAAUGAGUAAAUUUUCUUGUUAUCACAUGGUAAUACCUAACUCUCUGUAUUAGAUCAAAAAAGCAUUCAUUAGGGGAAAUUACCUACUUAUUCAUUUCUUUUGUAUGUCUGCAUAGGGGCUUGCAGAGUAUUGGGUGCCUGAUAAAUAGUUGUAAAUUGAUAAGCAGUGAAAAGUUUAGAAAUAGGCAACUUUGUAACUAAAGGCUAAGAAGUAUACAUAUUCAUUACUUUGCUUUUGAAUGCAAUCUAAAUGUAGAAUAUCAUUUACACUAAUAAACUUUCAAACAUUCUUCAUGGGAACCCCUGCUGUGGUAAUCAAGAAAGGCAACAUUUAGAAAAAAAAUUAAAGAUCUAGGUAUACUGACUCUGGUGUAAACUUUAUCCCUUGGGAUUUCUUCUGUCAUUUAAUCUAAUUGCACCCAGUAGUCUUAUGAUCAUAUUAAAACUUCUUCUAAUGAAGAGAGGAAAGUAAUCUACAUCUUACUAUUUCUCAAAAAAUAGGAAUGAAAAAUAGAUUAAGCCAAGUUAAACUAUCACUAAGAUAUCUGAGCAAGGUAAAAUUACCUUUUUCAUUUAACACGCCCCCCGUCAUUACAUACAUUUUGAAUGGUUAUAGCUUUCAGAUUUUCACUUAAUUUACAUUUGUCUACAUGAAAAAGAACAUUUGAUAUAUUAAAAAAAAAUUUACCAACCAUGGCUUUACUUUGAAUCAGUGUUCUUUACAUUUUCUAAAUGUGCUAAAAAAAACUAUUAAGAGGUUUUUCAACAAAACAAGACUGAAAUCAACUGCUAUUUAAAGAAGAAAAAUGACAUCAUUCAUUUUUCAUUCAUUUUAUUUAUAUAUUUCUUAUUGCCAAAAGGAGUACAAAGGGAUUUAAAAUGCUAGUACCAAGAUCUAAGAUCUGAUUACAGUGACCUCUCUCAAAAGCUGGAGUUAAAAAAGUGAUUUGUCCAAAUCACAGGAAGAGGAAAAUUUCCAUCAUAGGAUCCUAAGUAUCCUAAAUGGAUCAAUUUAUUUUUACUAGGCUACAAUAAAUGAGUCACAAAAAUACAAUGCAUUGAGCUGGAACAAGGGUAUAAACCUUGUGAAGAGUUUCUAAAAAAUUUUACGUAUCAAUCUAGCAGUAUUGAGAGAUAUGACAAAACUGUUAGGCCAUUUAAUGCUGAAUGAAAUAUUGGAUUUCUUUACAAAUCAGAUUUAUAUUAAAUGUGUGAUAGUGAAGAAGGUAUAACAGUAAAGUGGCUAAGAUUUAUUUGAAACACUGAACUAUUCACAUUUUUAAGUGUCUUUCUUCCAAAAUCAUUUCCAAUAUUAAAUCAAAAUAAGGGCACAAAGAUUAUUAAUUAUUUUCUGAAUUUAGAAAAUUUACAUUCUUUAAGUUUAUUUUUUCCUUAUGCUUAGGAAGAUUUUCUCGGUAAUAAUAAAUUUACUGCUCUGUUUUUUACAACUUAUACUUCAUCCUCACCACAGAGAAAAGAAGUAUAUGUGAUAUCUACCUAGCAAUAGACCUAAGUUAUUAUAAAUUAUAAGCCAUAAGUAAGAAUAUCAUUUAUCAUUUUAUUAGCUCCAUUACAAAAAAAUUUUGCACUAGGGAAAUAUACAUUCAAAAUAACUUAAAAUACAGGAGUUCCCGUUGUGGACAUGGCAGGAGUUCCCAUUGUGGCUCAGUGGGCUAAGAACCCUACACAGUGUCUUACGAGGCCAGCAGCUCUAAUUCCUAGCCCAGAAACCUCCAUGUGCCACAGGUGCAGCCGUAAAAAGAAAACAUAAAUAUAAUGUUCACAUAGCAGAAUACUUUCUCUGACUGGACUUUUUGCAGACGAUGGAGGAGAGACAUAGAAUUUUACCCAUUUAUAUAUUCAUUCAUUUAUUUUUAUUGAUAGCAUGAAUUGAACAUCCAUAUGAUCCUAGAAAUAGUACGUCACAAGGAUGCAAUGAUAUAUCCUCUAAGAGUCAAAUGGAAAGCAAAAUUUGAAGGGCAAGAAAUUUACUGGGAGAAAAGCACCAGGAAAAGAUGAAUGAGAAAGGACACAGAAGGCAGGGAAAAUUUUCAGUGUAUGAUGUAGGUGUGAUACCUGUGAAAGAAGAAAUAUAAAAGUAAGGAAACUGAAGAAAAGAAGAAUCAGAAGGCAGUGAGGCUCUGAAAACAAAACCAAAACAUCUCAGGACUGAUAGACUCAGAACAAGACUGUCCAAUAGAGGAACACUGCUCAGGCAGGAAUGAGCUGGCUCUGGUACACACUGCCAUGAGUCACUGGUAAGGCGAAGCCUAGGGAGAA